GCUGGUCUUCGGUGGUGGAUCUUGGGAAAUCCCAAGUUUUUCUACUGACGAUCAGG
rnacentral:ncRNA from 1 species